rnacentral:tRNA from 1 species
CAAGGGGUAGCUUACACCCACCAACCAAAGCAACCAGCUUACACCUGGAAGACGUAGGUGCCUACCCCCUUGAG